CUUUCGCUUUAAGCUGCCAAUCAAACCGCUAACUAGACACCACCCUGAUCUGGCACGGACAUAAAAAAAAAAAAGUCCGGCUUGGGACUUUGCUGCCGCUGCUCCUCGCUUCUCUGCUCAAGGCUGGU
rnacentral:lncRNA from 1 species